rnacentral:rRNA from 1 species
UACGGGGGGGGCAAGCGUUGUUCGGAAUUACUGGGCGUAAAGGGCUCGUAGGUGGCCAACUAAGUCAUACGUGAAAUCCCUCGGCUUAACCGGGGAACUGCGUCUGAUACUGGAUGGCUUGAGGUUGGGAGAGGGAUGCGGAAUUCCUGGUGUAGCGGUGAAAUGCGCAGAUAUCAGGAGGAACACCAAUGGCGAAGGCAGCUCGCUGGGACGGUACUGACGCUGAGACGCGAAAGCGUGGGGAGCAAACAGG